rnacentral:rRNA from 1 species
GAGUUUGAUCGUGGCUCAGGAUGAACGCUGGCGGCGUGCCUAAUACAUGCAGGUCGAACGAACAGAUAAGGAGCUUGCUCCUUUGACGUUAGCGGCGGACGGGUGAGUAACACGUGGGUAACCUACCUAUAAGACUGGAAUAACUCCGGGAAACCGGGGCUAAUGCCGGAUAACAUGUUGAACCGCAUGGUUCUACAGUGAAAGACGGUCUUGCUGUCACUUAUAGAUGGACCCGCGCCGUAUUAGCUAGUUGGUGGGGUAACGGCCGUACCAAGGCGACGAUACGUAGCCGACCUGAGAGGGUGGAUCGGCCGA